rnacentral:rRNA from 1 species
AUUGAACGCUGGCGGCAGGCCUAACACAUGCAAGUCGAACGGCAGCGGGGGAUAGCUUGCUAUCCUGCCGGCGAGUGGCGGACGGGUGAGUAAUGCAUGGGGAGCUGCCCAGUCGAGGGGGAUAACAACUGGAAACGGUUGCUAAUACCGCAUACGCCCUAAUGGGGAAAGGUGGGGAACUUCGGUCCUACCGCGAUUGGAUGCGCCCAUGUGGGAUUAGCUAGUUGGUGAGGUAACGGCUCACCAAGGCGACGAUCUCUAGCUGGCCUGAGAGGAUGACCAGCCACACUGGAACUGAGACACGGUCCAGACUCCUACGGGAGGCAGCAGUGGGGAAUAUUGCACAAUGGGGGAAACCCUGAUGCAGCCAUGCCGCGUGUGUGAAGAAGGCCUUCGGGUUGUAAAGCACUUUCAGUCAGGAGGAAGGUGGUAAGGCUAAUAUCCUUAUCAAUUGACGUUACUGACAGAAGAAGCACCGGCUAACUCCGUGCCAGCAGCCGCAGUAA